GCCUUCGUGGUGUAAUGGUUAGCACAUUCGGCUUGCAUCCGAAAGGUCCAGGUUCGAGUCCCGGCGAGGGCC